CAUUUUGCUCCUGAAGAAAAUCAACAUGAGAUAUAAACAAUGCAGGGCAUGUAAUUAAUGUAGGCCUCCUCGAGAACUAUUACAUUCCACAUAUCUAUGACAUACUAAAGCAUUGCUUAAUUUUACUUGUGCAAGGUAUUCAACGUUGACUAACUUCAAAAAAAGAGGGUUAUUGCUUCCUGUAAAAUGGUGUUUCAGCACUGGAGCAGAAGAGCUAAUUCUAGUUCUUUCUUUUUUUUUUGUUUGUUUUCCUAUUUUAUUCAACUAUUAUCACUGUAUAUCCAAAAUGUUUUGUACAAAAAGUGGUGAAAAAUUUUAUUUUUCAAAUAUUUUAUAUACUUGGUGUCUUCUUUGCUUUUAGUGUCUCUCGGAGACAAUUAAUGUUUAAUUGAAUUGAAUCAUUGAUUCCAGGUUUCAUCACUCUGUAUGUGUGUGUUUCACUGCUGGUCUCUGGAAGCGCUCUCAGUCUUCUAGUGCUGUUCUACACACAAUGGAAGACUUUCAAUACAUCACCAGGUCACAUAUAUACAUUUAUACACACACGGCAAGAUUAUUAAACAUAACCAAUAAAAACAAACAAAAAAUAUGGUGCUUUUCUUUUCAGAUGCUUCUAGCUCAAUAAUACCACAGAGGAAUUCCAGGAGACUAGAGGAUAGAGCCAACAAUGAAAACCAUCCAGCUGAAAAUGACUACUCCAUAAUAAUCAAUCCGGUCUACCAGAGUGGGAACCCCAACACCAGCCAGUCUGACUCAGUCUUUCAGAGUGUUAACACCAAUUCAGUCUACCAGCAUCUAAAUCCCAACACUAAACAAACAUAUUCAGUCUACCAGAGUCUGAACUCAAACAGCAAUCAAUCAGAUUCAGUCUACCAGAGCCUAAACCUCAAUAUCAAACAAUCAGAUUCAGUCUACCAGCAUCUAAAUCCCUACCACUAAUGAAUUUCUUACUACCAAAAUUCUCAGUUGUCACUUAUUCCACCUUGUUGCAUAAAUUGCUGAUUUUCUUUGAAAUGUACACACAGAACAUCAUUGUAAUGACUUGUUUAAGUUUUUCUAUGACUAUGAAUAAACAUCAUCACGCUCAUGCAACUCAUUGGCAGUCUUUCUUUGAAGGCAUGUGGAAAGUCUGCUCAUUUAUAUACUUAUCAUGUGAGGCUUCACACCUCUGAUGGUUACAGGUUUCAGAAGUGCUUUGCUCUUGUCAAAAUCAGUGUGUGAGCCUGUAUUUCAGUGUUUACUUACUGUUUACUGCAAUUGGCUUAAUAGAACACAUUUCCAGAUGUUUUGCUUUGAAGUUUCAGAAAAAGCUUUAUUAUUUAUGAAGCUGAGUUUUAUCAGUUCUUUGUGUCUGCAAAAUAAUGUUUGAUAAUGUUUUCAAUAGAAAACUUUGUUUAUUAGUUUAUUUUGUCUUUGAAAAUGUAUCACUCUCACUAAAAUGACUGUUUGGAAUAAGACAUUAAAAUGUUUUUUUAAUAAUCUACAAUAUUUUGUAAUCUACUAUAUUUGCAAGAGUGCUACUUCACUGAGCUGCAUAAUUGGACUUGAUCACUUAUAUAAAAUGUGUCAGCAUAUAUAAAAGGGGAC
ensembl:lncRNA